UACGGAGGGUGCGAGCGUUGUCCGGAAUCAUUGGGCGUAAAGGGCGCGUAGGUGGCUUCUUAAGCGUGCGGUGAAAGCCUGGGGCUCAACCCCGGGUCGGCCGUGCGAACUGGGGGGGGCUGGAGCACUGUAGAGGCAGGCGGAAUUCCGGGGUGUAGCGGUGGAAUGCGUAGAGAUCCGGAAGAACACCGGUGGCGAAGGCGGCCUGCUGGGCAGUUGCUGGACACUGAGGCGCGACAGCGUGGGGAGCAAACAGG
rnacentral:rRNA from 1 species